GGCCUCAUCGUCUAACGGCUAGGACGCAUCCCUUUCACGGAUGAAAUCGGGGUUCGAUUCCCCGUGAGGUCA
rnacentral:tRNA from 1 species